rnacentral:rRNA from 1 species
UACGUAGGUCCCGAGCGUUGUCCGGAUUUAUUGGGCGUAAAGCGAACGCAGGUGGUUUAUUAAGUCUGGUGUAAAAGGCAGUGGCUCAACCAUUGUAUGCAUUGGAAACUGGUAGACUUGAGUGCAGGAGAGGAGAGUGGAAUUCCAUGUGUAGCGGUGAAAUGCGUAGAUAUAUGGAGGAAUACCGGUGGCGAAAGCGGCUCUCUGGCCUGUAACUGACACUGAGGCUCGAAAGCGUGGGGAGCAAACAGG